rnacentral:lncRNA from 1 species
AGAAGGUCGAAGCUCUGACUGCCAGUCUGGACCCAGAAUCCGACGGCUUUCGCUCCCUGUGCAACCCCAGCGGAAUCCGCCGCACUCGAAGAGACGUGAGGAGAAGCGGAAGAAUCGGAAGCAGCGAUGGGCUCGAUGAAGGCGAAGGCACGAGGACAGAAGGCGUUUUGCCAAGCUGAGAGCGAGGCGGCAUAGCCUGCAGGAACCGGAGGAAGGGACGAUGACGCGGGGCGGCAGGAGACAGACGAACGGCGCAGCGGGUCCCCGACACAGGUCCCGCGGGGGGUGGGGGGGCGAGAGGCCGUGGACGAAGACGAGAGACGGGGCGGUCUGUGCUUGACAGCGUAGGCGCCGAUUUGUGGAAGGAGCGACCGAUCAAAGAUAAAGGUGGCCGCGCAUGAAUGGAGGGCCAGUUUCUGCAGAGGUUCCGCAGAAGAGAAAGAGGCAGAAACGCAAGCGUCGUCCUCCUCAGACCCCUUUUUUUGCGAGGGAGACGGAGGCGCGCACACCCGGCAGUGCAAAAACGCGAAAGGAACCUCCAUGGUGUCUCUGUCCUCCGGUUACGAGGGCAACGAGAAGUGGAAUCCCUCUCUCUCGGAAACAGGAAAAAGGAGAACCGGUCAGGAACCAGAGUCAGCGGAGCCCCUCGACAUUUUUCUACCCACCCGGCUGAGAGAAGACGGCCUCUCAGCUAGGAAUCUAGGACGCUGGCGGCUUUGCUGCUGACACGCGCGUCAUGUGUACAGACAGAGAGACUCACGAGGAUAGAGCGGUGCACUUUGGUGGUCAUGCUUGGACAGAUCGCAUUCAGUCGAGUGUCAGGGCCUCUGCCGGUUCUGACAAUACAGAGAGAAGAUGGCCCGGGAAAGCGGCAUGCAUCAACGCCGAGUACACUGAAGCGGGGGGUAGGGCUCCUCGCGCACUUGAAGAUGUGCUUUCGGUUGCACUUUAUGACGCAUAAAAGAAGACCACAAGCGAAGAAAGGAGAGAGACCACAGGGAAAUGGAAAGCCGCCGCAUGCACUUGUAAGGCAGCAAAACAGAGUGAGAAGCGAGGAGACAAGGUGGGAG